CAGCCGCCACGGUAAUACGUAGGGCGCAAGCGUUAAUCGGAAUUACUGGGCGUAAAGCGUGCGCAGGCGGUUCGGAAAGAAAGAUGUGAAAUCCCAGGGCUUAACCUUGGAACUGCAUUUUUAACUACCGGACUAGAGUGUGUCAGAGGGAGGCGGAAUUCCACGUGUAGCAGUGAAAUGCGUAGAGAUGUGGAGGAACACCGAUGGCGAAGGCAGCCUCCUGGGAUAACACUGACGCUCAGGCACGAAAGCGUGGGGAGCAAACAGGAUUAGAUACCCGCGUAGUCCCUGUCUCUUAUAA
rnacentral:rRNA from 1 species